AAUAAAAUGCCUGAUAAAAGGGCUACUUUGAUAGAGUAGAUCAUGCGAGUCAAUCUCGUUUUUGUUA
rnacentral:tRNA from 1 species